rnacentral:rRNA from 1 species
GACGAACGCUGGCGGCGUGCCUAAUACAUGCAAGUUGAGCGCUGAAGGUUGGUACUUGUACCAACUGGAUGAGCAGCGAACGGGUGAGUAACGCGUGGGGAAUCUGCCUUUGAGCGGGGGACAACAUUUGGAAACGAAUGCUAAUACCGCAUAAAAACUUUAAACACAAGUUUUAAGUUUGAAAGAUGCAAUUGCAUCACUCAAAGAUGAUCCCGCGUUGUAUUAGCUAGUUGGUGAGGUAAAGGCUCACCAAGGCGAUGAUACAUAGCCGACCUGAGAGGGUGAUCGGCCACAUUGGGACUGGGACACGGCCCAAACUCCUACGGGAGGCAGCAGUAGGGAACCUUCGGCAAUGGACGAAAGUCUGACCGAGCAACGCCGCGUGAGUGAAGAAGGUUUUCGGAUCGUAAAAAUCUGUUGGUAGAGAAGAACGUUGGUGAGAGUGGAAAGCUCAUCAAGUGACGGUAACUACACAGAAAGGGACGGCUAACUACGUG